AGAAUCAACGCUGGCGGCGUGCCUAACACAUGCAAGUCGAUCGAGAAAGUGGAGCAAUCCAUGAGUAAAGAGGCGCACGGGUGAGUAACACGUGACUAACCUACCUUCGAGUGGGGAAUAAACCUGGGGAAACCCGGGCUAAUACCGCAUAAUACCUACGGGUCAAAGGAGCAAUUCGCUUGAAGAGGGGGUCGCGGCAGAUUAGUUAGUUGGCGGGGUAAUGGCCCACCAAGACGAUGAUCUGUA
rnacentral:rRNA from 1 species